GGCGGGCUGCGCGGUUCGGCAGGCGUAACUUUUCCUCGGGGCCUUAGUCAUUCCGAAGGGAGCUGUCCCUGACUUGGCCCGUGGGCCAGGAUAUACGGCGCCCACCUACAUCGUAGGUUCCCGGGAUCGACUUCGUCACCGGCCGAUGUGGCUCGCCA
rnacentral:other from 2 species